UACGUAGGGUGCGAGCGUUAAUCGGAAUUACUGGGCGUAAAGCGUGCGCAGGCGGUGAUGUAAGACAGGUGUGAAAUCCCCGGGCUUAACCUGGGAACUGCGCUUGUUACUGGCAGGCUUGAGUGUGGCAGGAGGGGGGGUGGAAUUCCGACGUGUAGCAGUGAAAUGCGUAGAGAUGUGGAGGAACACCAGUGGCGAAGGCGACUCUCUGGGCUGUAACUGACGCUGAGGUGCGAAAGCGUGGGGAGCGAACAGG
rnacentral:rRNA from 1 species